AUGCCUGUCUGGACAGGGGCUGGGGCAGCAAACUAUCAAGGGAGGACCGAUAGGAUCAAAUUCCUUUUCACAGAACAAAUGCUUCUUUGAGGAUAAGCAGGACCGGCCCGAGGCCGUGGAGGACGCAGGUGAGAAGCAGAGCCAGCCCCCAGCUCCUAGGGCCUGUUGGCUUUACCUACACGGCGCACCGGCAGGCCGGGGUGUCUGGGGAAUCCACACACAGCAGUAACAUGAACCCAAGUCUCCCACUGCUGUUGAAUUACACUCUCAGAACUUGAGCUCCGAAAGUUCCCUCAGAGACCACGAAGUUCACAUCCCUUGUUUCACAGAUGAGUCACCGGAGAAGGGACCAGAACUAAGAACGCAUUGCAUCCCUCAGCCAACGCUGGAUGCUCCUCUGUGCCAGACACUGCCCUGGGCCUUAAGGACAGAGCAGAGAACGAAGCAGCCAAGGCCUCAGCCUUGUGCGGUUCACACACAAGGAGAGGAAACGGAAAAUAAAAGAAUUCCGAUUGUGGGAGGUUUUAUGAGGGAAAUAAACUGAGUGAUGCGAAGCAGGGGUUGGCAAACUACGGCCCGCGGGCCAGAUCCCGCUCCAGGGCUCUUUGUCCGCCAGCAAGCUAAGAACGGUUUUACGUGUCUAAAGCUUGUAAAAAAGAAAAAGAAUAUGCCACAGAGACCGUACAGCCCACAAAGCCUGGAGGUUUGCUCUCUGUAUGGAAAAAGUCUGCCAACUCCUGGCGAGAGCAGGGGCAGCUCUGAACUAGUAAGGUCUGCGCUCCUACCUCGUAACGCGGCCUCUUUCUACUCCCCCAGAGCUGCCUCCACCUCAGGGAGAAUAAAACAUUGAAAUGGUUCGUCAAAAGUUCACCGGAGUUGGCAACCUGCCCGCAGCCAAGAGUCCGGAUUUCCGGACGCCUCCUUCCCCACCUGCUGUCUGGGGUCUUAAGUAACCUGGUCCUCAAUCUGGCCACAGCUGUGCCUGCCCCUCUCCCCAACCGGCAGGCCCAGGAGCCACACAGGCAACAGCUUCUCCCACGGACCCCCAAGCUUCUCCCACGGACCCCCAACCCCUCCGCUCACCUCCGACUCCCGCCUGAACUACUUGGUCAAAAAUAGAACCGGGUGGAUCCCUAUUUCAAGGCACCUCCCUGGAAAUCCAAUACCCAGAAACACUGACUUCUUUUAUUUCAGUCAAAUACAUUUCUCAGUCCAAGGCUCAGAGUUCAACUUUACAAACCCUGGCAUUUGGAAACAAAGGAAGAGAUGUUUAUGUCCAAAGAAAAUCAAAUAGUCACCUCUAGCUCCCCUGGAAGGAAAGUCCAUAGGACACAUUCCAGCAGAAACUGUGAAUGGAAACCCACGGGAAGCAAGAAGUAUGGCACAAAGCCCUGAGCUCACCACUCAGCAGCAUCUGUGACACAUUCCGCCACAUUUCUGUGCCAAACGGGAACUCAGCUGUCUCUUAAAAAAUAUCUGUCCCAUCAAUGUUCAACACAGAGCCUCUCCUCUUACACAGCCCUCACCCUGGAAGGUUCCAGAAGACCAUUUUGUUCACAGUGAAAUCUCGAGUAAAUUUCACUCGAACAGUUAACUUUGAAAUUGUUACACUAGCCAUUCCCUAACAUUAAAAUAACUCGCAUGUGCACACAAAGGGAUACAAUAAAUUCUUACUAUGGUGAUGGGGAAACGUCUCGUGAAAGGUGAUGGAUGGAACACGCUCACCUGUGAUUCCUCCCCGAAUCCUAUUAAAACCCUAGUAAAGAGAUUCUUUAAAGGAAUAAAUGCACAAGAAUAUAAAGAGUAAGAAACAGCAGGCACUAAAUUUGGAAGCUGGAAAGCAGAUGGAUAAAUGGUAACCAAUAGACUAGAAGCCAGAAAGCCGAGGGGAGAAAGCUAAGACUCCACCUGAUUCACACAAAAGACCCCCCAGCAGGAGGGAGCAGCUACAGGGCCUCCUGGCCGGAGGGUGAAAGAGGGGUUGGAAACAGAAGGAUUAGCUGAGAGUCGACCUAAGGAGAAGUGAGACCUCUCCCAUCCCCCAUAGUUGGCCAAAAGCCCCUUCUGCCUCCAGAAGGCUGGAAGCUGAGUCUUUGGAGAAAGUGAAACAGGAUGUCCACACUAGGGACAUCAAGGACCUAUGGGAAGGAAGGACCUGAGCCAAAAAUAGGAAAUCAAAUCACAGCUGACACACUGGACAUCGAGAGCCACAGUCUUCUUCCCCGACUCAGAUCUCAGAGUGCCAACAAAAAAGGAGAUUGGAAAAUUUCACUGAGGAAUCUGAUCAAGUCAAAAGAGCUGCGGGAGCUAACAUUUGUUUUGUGUCCUCUGAGGACAAAUGAUAGACAGUUCCAGAUUGAAAGACUCACCAAACACCAGCAUAAUGGAUGAAAAUAAACCUACAGGAAAGCACAUGAUGAUUCAAUUUCAGACAGGAAAGACUCUACAAGCUUCCACAGGGGAAAAAGGAGAAAAAGUCUACAUACCAAGGAUCAAAAAUUAUAAUGGCAUUGGGUUUCUCCCCCUUAGAAGCUAGAAAGCAAUAGAACAACUCAAAAUUCUGAAGGAAAAGUAUUUCCAAUCUAGAACCCUGCACCUAAACUGUCAAUUAACUGUCAGAAUAGAAUAGACAAUUUCAGACUUGCAAGAAUCAAAGAUCUCAUCUCUCAUCUACCCUUUACCCCAUUUGGAAAGGGUACACAAGAGAUAACCCUUACUGGACAUGUUCCACCAAAAUGAGGAAGACAUGGAAUCCAGGGAGCAGAGGGUCCAACCCAGGAGAAAGUCAAGGAAAUAUCCAGAAUAAUGUUGAGGGGAGAUUCCAGGAUGACCACCGUGCAGCAGAUCUGGAGAGAAACUAAUCCAGAUAAAACUGGAGCUUUCCCAGCCUCCCUUGCAGCUAGGGCACAGACCUGUGACCCCAGGUCCACUAGUCAAUGGAUCCAUGUGAGAUUUCACUUCUGGAGAAAAUGAUGUAAAGAAACAGGUGUCAAUGAGAGACCCUUGCUCUUCAGGAGAAGGUAGAGGGGGAGGCAUCUAACCUUCAGGGUCAGCAGAGGUGGAAGACGGCCUCCCUGACAUCCAGCCCCGUGGUCUGAGCUCUGUCCCCGGCUGUGACGUCUCCAGGCCUGGCCCUCCCCCUGCCUGGAGCUUCUGGGGCUAGUCAGCAUCCCAUAACAAAUCCUCUCCGAGCUAGAGUGCCGUCUGCUUUUUGCAGCUAAGCACUUGAUGGAUAGAAGGUGACCAAAUAUUUAGGACUGAAUUAAUAAUAUGCAGAAAAUUAGCAAACAAAAAAGGCAAUUAUUAAGUCUAAGAAAAACAAAUUGUAAAAGAAAGAAAUGUAAUUUCAGGAUACUACAUGAAUCAGCUGGGAACAUUAUUUGCUUCACCUCAUUAAUAUAAACAUUGAAAUCUGACUUACAGUUGUAAAUACA
rnacentral:lncRNA from 1 species